CCUGAGUGUGUACAAGUACUGGAGAUUGUGAAAAUUUUUUUAUGAUUAGUAUUUUGUUGUUAUUCGAUGAUAAAAUAUGAAUUGUACUUUAUGUGUAACUAAUUUUUUAAAUUUUUCCAUAAACUUUUCAAAUAAUAUGGAUGGUCAAAUGUUCGACACGGAAGCCUACAGCUGCACUUAAA
rnacentral:pre_miRNA from 1 species